UAACACUGCACCAGCAAACAAGCAGUGACUCAGUGUCCUGUUAUACUGGAGGCAGAAACAGUCUCUAUGGAACCAGGUUUUCCACAGAGGCCAGGUCAUACAUGGCCAGCUGUCCUUCCACUGUCUGGAUGUCCGGCAGCACCAUCAGCCCUCAGCGUGGGCAGCUGGUUGUCAGGACGAUUCUGUACACAAAAUGCUUUCAACACCAUACAGCCUGUGCUGCUGAGGGACAAGUUGGAGCA